CGGGGACUUCCGCUGUUUCCCAUCGUUGUGCUCACACCCACGCGGUUAGCAAGUGUGCAUCGGGAGACGGAUUUCGCAGGUGCUGAGCUGCUGGGUGGGUGAGCCGGGAGCUGGUGGAGAGAACGCAAAGGCCGGAUGUCGUUUGGUUCUUAUCUGGAAGAUUUGAGGUUGCAAGAAGAGAACUUUCCUUCUCUGCAGUCAGGCAGAGCUCAAGGCAGGUCCUCAGCCUUGUAAGUGUUUCCCACGUGAGAAGCCAGCACCACCACCUUCAUCAAUAUCACCAUGACUUUCAUCGUCAUCACCAUUACAACCACCAUCAUUAAUAUCACCAUCACCUUCACGUAACUACCUCCACAACCACCAUUCUCAAUAUCACCAUCACCUUCAUUACCACCACUACAACCACCAUCAAUAUCACCAUCACCUUCAUCAUCACCACCACCACAACCACCAUCAAUAUCACCAUCACCUUCAUCACCACCACCAUCAUCAUCAAUAUCACUAUCACUUUCAUCAUCACCACCAGCACCACAACCACCAUCAAUAUCACCAUUACCUUCAUCAUCACCAUCACCUUCAUCACCACAACCACCAUCUCACAAUCACUUUCAUCAUCACCACCACCAUAACCAUCGUCAAUAUCACCAUCACCUUCAUCAUCACCACAACCACCAUCAACCAUAUCACCAUCACUUUCAUCAUCACCACCACCACAACCACCAUCAAUACCACCUUCAUCAUCACCACCACCACAAAUCACCAUCAUAUCACCCUCACUUUCAUCAUUACCACAAUCACCAUCAAUAUCACCAUCCCCUUCACCAUCACUACCAACACAGCCACCAUCAUCAAUAUCACCCUCAACUUUAUUAUCACCUCCACCAUCAGCAGCAGCAUCAACUUCAUCAUCACCAUCACCACCUCUGCCAUCAGCAGCAUCAUUAUUAUCUUCAUCAUCAUGGUUUCAGCCACAAUCGGAAUCAACAGCCGUCACCCAGAGUUGAAGGAGGUGUCACCCACUCAGAGAACACCCCUGACCUUCCCAAGGAAGCCCUCUGCACUCCGACGCCAUAUACCCGUGAUCUGCACAGGACUGUCACCAUCUGGAAUUGAUUGCCUCUCUUCCCGUUUUGCUAUUGUCAUUUGCACCCACAGGAAUGUCACCCACAUGAGUGUGGAAUUUCAUCUGUCUGUUCGCUGCUGGAUCCCUGCUCUAAGUAAGAAAAGGACCUGUGGCAGAGUGAGCUCUGGAUGAGGAUUUGCUGAGGAAUUGAAUGAGGGAAAGACUCAGAGAAUGGAAUGCUGAGAAUUCUACAAUAAAUAUUUGAAUCCUAGAGUGUUGGAGUCAGGAGAAGCCCUCGGAAGCCAUCUAGACAAACCCAUUCAUUUGCAAAGGGGUAAACUGAGGCUGAGGAGAAAAAAGUGACUUGCUCCACAUCCCAAGGCCUGAGGGUCUUCUCCCUGCUCUGAUGGGAGAGGGACCCCCUUUGUGCUGUUGUGGGUAAAAUGGUGAUGUGUGGCUGGAGGGUGAAGGGGCUUCUUCUGCCCUUUGACUCAUUGCCUAGGAAAAUAGGGACAAAAGGCGCAAAUUUUUUCAAAAUGCAAACAACUAAAGACAACGUCAUUCAGUAGAGACAAAGUGGGUGUUUGGGUUGACAGAGAAACAGAAAAGCUUCCCUGAGGUUGAGGAGGGAAGAGGGGGCUUGAAGGUGGGUGAGCCCCAAAUGUGACCUUCAACUCCUGGGAAGCUGUAGGCAAGGACAUAGCCAAGGCAAAACCAUCAAGAAUGUAAUUCACCAACAGAAACAUUCACUGACCACCCUCGGGGCCUGAAGGUCUUUCCAAAGCCUUGCUGCUGAGCACAUGAUGAACUUCAAACAAUAGCGAAGUCAGGAGCCAGGCGCUGAUGACCCCCAGGAGGAAGCUUGCAGAGGAUGAUGGGACAGAGGGGGAUGGGCAGGAGUCUAAGCAGGCGCUCAGGGAGGCCGCUUUCGUCAAGGAUGCUGAAAGAAUGGGGGUCUCAUGGAUUCUGGGAGAGAUGGUCCAAGGCAGAGGGACAGCCAGUGUGGGCCUGGAAAGAUGUGUGCCGCAUGUCUGAGGGGCAGGGGCCAAUGUGGCUGGAGGUAGAUGGGAGAGGAGGACACUAGGGGCUGAGGUCAGAGGGGACACAACUGGAUCUGUGCGAGACCUUGCAUGCCACUGAAAGGGCGCUGGCUGUCACUGUCGUGACCAGAGCCUCUGGGCAGGUCUUCACAGAGGUCAGGCUGACUGCACUUGCGGAUGGAUUGAAUAGCAGUAGUUAGAGGACAGCAUGCAUGGCUCAGGGAGGAUUCCCAGGAUUUGGGAUGCACAGCUGGAAGAAGGGAGGAGCUCCUGAAUGAGGAGUGGGAGGUCCGGGAAGGGCAGCCUUGGUGGGGAGAGACGCCGGGACCUGCAGAGAAACUCCCUGAAAAGAACAGGGCUGAGCCAUCUUUACCCCAGGCUCAGGACCUUCCUUCGCUGUAACUGCCAGGACAAUCCACUGUGCUGUCACUCAGAGAGCGAAACCAGCCUGACUUUGCACCUGUGUCUCCAAGGGAUAAAGGUCAAUGUCACAGCAGACUCCACUCUGAUGCUGUCUUCAAGCCAAAACCUUAAUAUUCAAUGAGAAAUCUGCAUUGAUGAAAUUUUCAUUAAACAAACUUUAUCCCUCUCACUCCUCUUGUUAUUCGUGGCUUUAAGUAUCAGGCUAAUUUAGGCUUGAUGCCCCAGUGAUCUGCAGAUUGGAGCAUUAUUAAACAUUUAGAUGAGCAAUGAUGAGCCUGAGCCUCCCUCUCCUCUCUCAGCUGGAGCACAGGGGGCUCUGCUAAUGAUCACAAUGGAUUUGGGGCAGACACAGCAAUUAGAGAAUUAUCUAUAGUUUGAGCAAGAUUUGACCCCUCUGUCUUCAAGGGAAAUUAGCUGCUUGACUUACAGAGCACACAAUUUAAUUGAUAAAAUGUAUGAAAAGAAAAUUCCAGCCUUAGAGCCAGUUUUACAACUAACAAGCUGUGCAAAUGCCUGAGCAGACCCCUCUUUCUUUCUGUACCUCCUCUUGCCCCAUCCGUAGAGUAAGGAGGGCUAGACCAGGGCAGAGGCUUCCACAUGUGGGCUGUGGGCUGAAAUCAGCCUGGAGAGGGGCUCUGUCUGGCAAACUGUUUCAUUUGUUUGUUUAGUGAACACUUUCCUAGCACUCAUGAUUUUGGGUUCUGUGUGUUUCAUGUAUGUUAACUUGUCUCAUUCUCCCAAUACCCCUUGAGAUAGGCACUCUUAUUAUUCCCAUUUUAGAGAUGGGAAAACUCUGACCAAGAGGGGUUCAAUGCCUUACUGUGGGUCAUCUGCUGGGCAGGAGUAAGGCAGGGUUUGGACCCAGAUGGUCUGGUUCCACAGCCUAUGCUAUAAACUUCUGUGCCAAACUGUUUUUAUUAUUAUUAUUAUUAUUAUUAUUAUUGGAGGCAUAAUGUUUAAAAUGAAAUUGUCAGAAAUUUAAGUGUGUGUGUUCUUGACAUCAAACAGCUUAUAUGUUACAAUAACGGAGCUCUCCCAAUACUCAGUCCGCCUUCCUAUCUUGCCACAGGCAGCUAUUACCAACGUGCCCUUAGGGUGGAACAUUCUCCUCCUGGUCUACCUCAGUCCCUCCAGUCCUAGAGUCUCCCCAUCACCACGGCCAAAUAUAGCUCAUCUUUGAUAACUGAAUUUACCCUCUUGAUCAUGCUUGGAUUGCUUCAUUGUUUGACUUACCUGCUUGGUGCUGGUAGGCAUUUAGGAGUUGUUUGAAGGCAUCAGAAAGCAACCCAGGCUGCCAGGACUUGAGGGUCCACGAUCCCAUGGAAAAGCGAACUGCAACGAGGUAAGCCCUACAUUCUCCUUGAAGCUAGUAGCCUUGAAUCUCCUUGAGCUAGUAGCCAAUUUGUAAGUGCAGAGGGGUUGAGAAAGCAGAAAGCAGUGGCUCAGAGUUGUAUGCCAAGUUCACAGAUCUGGGGAGACGAAAGUUGACAUUCAAGCUGACAAGAAAGCCAGGGUUUGAGGGACAGAGAUGUCAGAGAAAAUGGGACCCCUGACAGUGAGUCUGAAUUUCUGUAUCAGUGUUUGCUGAUCCAGAAUGAGAUGCUCAGAAGCCGAGCUGAAAGUGGGCCCCCAAAAGCUAAGAAACCAAGCAGUUUUCAUCAAUAUCAUGAUGCCGUAACAACAAAAAUUAGGGUUUAAGACUCAACAAACAGGAGUUCUGGAAAAUAUGCAAGUCUUUCAGUUGAGGUCCUCCAAGGAAUUGCCCUAGAAGAAAGAUCAAACCAAAAUAAAGUAGGCCUUAUAAAGACAGAAAAUCAGCCUUAAAUUACCUUAAUCCCAGAUUGAUUAAGGUAAUCUGUGCCUACCAUCGUGGUUGACAGAAGAAUUUAUUCUCUGGGAAAAGAUAUCAAGAGACACUCAGUUUUUCAAAUAAAAUAGCCAGAAGUCAUAAAAAAAAGUCAUCAGAAGUAUUAAUAACAGGAGCAGGUGCAAAUGACCAAAAACCAAGCAAUAAAAAAAAUAGACAACAAGAAAAGACCCACAGAUGAUUAGUUACUGAAAUGAUCAGAUACAAACUUUGAAAUAGCAAUUAGUGAUAUAUUAAUUUAAAAAAUGAAAAGCUGGAAAAUUUCAUCAGAAAAAUGGAAUUUAUAAAGCAGAAUCAGAUGAAUAGUCUCAAACUGAAAAAUAAAAUAACUAAAAUUGAAAAUACAAGUGAUAGGUACAUCAACAAUUUAGACAAAGCAGGAGAUAGGUGUGUUGAAAAUCUACAGGCUGAGGUAUGGCAUAAAAACUUUGAAAAUAUAAAAAAGAGCAUCAGAAAAUAUAGAAUAUGAUGAAAGAUCUAAAUACACGUAAUUGAAAUUCUAAGGCUGGGUGCGGGGACUCAUGUCUAUAAUCUCAGCACUUUGGGAGGCCAAGGUAGGUGAAUUGCUUGAGCCUAGGAGUUUGAGGCCAGCCCGGGCAACGUGGUGAAAUCCCGUCUCUAUGAAAAAU
rnacentral:lncRNA from 10 species